rnacentral:tRNA from 1 species
AAAAUAUGUCUGGGACAAUGUGUAACUUCUAAUUAUACCCUGAGCUGUUCAAUUCAGCUCAUAUUUUU